UGAAUUUAACAUUUUCAUUCAAUGAAUAAUGAUCUAAGAAAAUAAACUUGUUAUUCUUUGUUAUUAAUAAUUUAUAACCAUCAUACAGUUAAUUAUUUAAUUCUAAAAUGUUAUCAAACAGGUUUGGAUAAAAUAAUGGUUGAAGUUUCUUUUGCAUGCAUGCCUUCAGUAGAGAGGAGCCUUCCUAAUUAAGCUCGCAUUAACACAAGGAACUAAAGCAUUAAUUAACUAUUUGAUAGCCUUAUAUUUGUGUGCUCCUACUUGCUCCCAUCUUUUCAAGCGCUUGGGUUAUAUUUGUUGUGACUACAUAAUCAAUUAAAAAGAAAGCAAAAGAACAAAAAAUAUCAAAGGUCAUGCCCCCCCAUUAAUUUCUUUCAUAAUUUGCUGGUGGAUUUAAAACAUGGAUUAAUGUGAGAUACAGAUAAAGAAAUAAGCUGCCUCUGCGAGGAAGCAGUACUUUAUUGUGGAUCAAGGUAGUAUUACAUAAUUGAUAAAAAAGAAACACUCUGUUAACAUGACCCAAACCAAGUUCCAUCAUUAUGUGAGGAAAUUUGGCUAAUUGA
rnacentral:lncRNA from 1 species